rnacentral:rRNA from 1 species
UGGGGAAUAUUGCACAAUUGGCGCAAGCCUGAUGCAGCCAUGCCGCGUGUAUGAAGAAGGCCUUCGGGUUGUAAAGUACUUUCAGCGGGGAGGAAGGGAGUAAAGUUAAUACCUUUGCUCAUUGACGUUACCCGCAGAAGAAGCACCAGCUAACUCCGUGCCAGCAGCCGCGGUAAUACGGAGGGUGCAAGCGUUAAUCGGAAUUACUGGGCGUAAAGCGCACGCAGGCGGUUUGUUAAGUCAGAUGUGAAAUCCCCGGGCUCAACCUGGGAACUGCAUCUGAUACUGGCAAGCUUGAGUCUCGUAGAGGGGGGUAGAAUUCCAGGUGUAGCGGUGAAAUGCGUAGAGAUCUGGAGGAAUACCGGUGGCGAAGGCGGCCCCCUGGACGAAGACUGACGCUCAGGUGCGAAAGCGUGGGGAGCAAACAGG